GAUUAACGCUGGCGGCGUGCAUAACACAUGCAAGUCGAACGAAGUGGCGGACGGGUGAGUAACGCGUGAGUAACCUGCCUUAGAGAAGGGGAUAGCCUUUGGAAACGAAGAAUAAUACCCUAUGCUCUAAGAUGGACUUGCGUCUGAUUAGUUAGUUGGUGGGGUAACGGCCCACCAAGACAGCGAUCAGUAGCCGGCUUGAGAGAGUGUACGGCCACAUGGGGACUGAGACACGGCCCAGACUCUACGGGAGGCAGCAGUGGGGAAUUUUGCACAAUGGGGGAAACCCUGAUGCAGCGACGCCGCGUGAUUUAGAAGGCCUUCGGGUUGUAAACCGCUUUCAGCCAUGACGCGGUAGUGGCAGAAGAAGCACCGGCUAACUACGUGCCAGCAGCCGCGGUAAUUC
rnacentral:rRNA from 1 species